UACGAAGGGGGCUAGCGUUGUUCGGAUUUACUGGGCGUAAAGGGCGCGUAGGCGGACUUGUAAGUCAGUGGUGAAAUCUGUGGGCUUAACCCACAAACUGCCAUUGAUACUGCAGGUCUAGAGUACAGUUGCCGUUGGCGGAAUAUGACAUGUAGUGGUGAAAUACUUAGAUAUGUCAUAGAACACCGAUUGCGAAGGCAGCUAACGAAGCUGUAACUGACGCUGAGGCUCGAAAAGUGCGGGGAUCAAACAGG
rnacentral:rRNA from 1 species